rnacentral:rRNA from 1 species
GCGAACGGGUGAGUAACGCGUGAGGAACCUGCCUCAAAGAGGGGGACAACAGUUGGAAACGACUGCUAAUACCGCAUAAGCCCACGGGUCGGCAUCGACCAGAGGGAAAAGGAGUAAUCCGCUUUGAGAUGGCCUCGCGUCCGAUUAGCUAGUUGGUGAGGUAACGGCCCACCAAGGCGACGAUCGGUAGCCGGACUGAGAGGUUGAACGGCCACAUUGGGACUGAGACACGGCCCAGACUCCUACGGGAGGCAGCAGUGGGGAAUAUUGCACAAUGGGGGAAACCCUGAUGCAGCGACGCCGCGUGGAGGAAGAAGGUCUUCGGAUUGUAAACUCCUGUUGUUGGGGAAGAUAAUGACGGUACCCAACAAGGAAGUGACGGCUAACUACGUGCCAGCAGCCGCGGUAAAACGUAGGUCACAAGCGUUGUCCGGAAUUACUGGGUGUAAAGGGAGCGCAGGCGGGAAGACAAGUUGGAAGUGAAAUCUAUGGGCUCAACCCAUAAACUGCUUUCAAAACUGUUUUUCUUGAGUAGUGCAGAGGUAGGCGGAAUUCCCGGUGUAGCGGUGGAAUGCGUAGAUAUCGGGAGGAACACCAGUGGCGAAGGCGGCCUACUGGGCACCAACUGACGCUGAGGCUCGAAAGUGUGGGUAGCAAACAGGAUUAGAUACCCUGG